rnacentral:rRNA from 1 species
CCCGGCAACAAGCAGCGGAGCAUGUGGUUUUAAUUCGAAGCAACGCGAAGAACCUUACCAGGUUCUUGACAUCCCUCUGAAGUAUGCUUUAGCAGCAUAUGUCCGUUCGGGACAGGGGAGACAGGUGGUGCAUGGUUGUCGUCAGCUCGUGUCGUGAGAUGUUGGGUUAAGUCCCGCAACGAGCGCAACCCUCGUGUUUAGUUGCCAACAGGUAAUGCUGUGCACUCUAAACAGACUGCCGUGGAUAACACGGAGAAGUGGGGAUGACGUCAAAUCAUCAUGCCCCUUAUGAUCUGGGCUACACACGUGCUACAAUGGUCGGUACAACGGGCAGCGAAAGAGUAAUCUGGAGCGAAUCCUAAAAAGCCGAUCCCAGUUCGGAUUGUGGGCUGAAACUCGCCCACAUGAAGUUGGAGUUGCUAGUAAUCGCGAAUCAGAAUGUCGCGGUGAAUGCGUUCCCGGGUCUU